GGGAGCCCACGCCGCAUGUCCAUCCUUAUCCCUGAAGGCCACAGGCAUGAGGAGAGUCGGUGGCUUGGCCCCUAUUGUAUGGGUAAAGAGUAAAUAACUGAUGUAGGGUUACGCAGCUGCUACCAAUUAACACGCAAAAGGCCCGUCUUCUUCCAAAUCCAUACCUCUGCAUGAAGAAUCGGCUGCUAGCUUUCUCACAAUUUGGGGAGCCUCAUCUACUCAUUUCCAAUCUCAGAUCCUCAGAUCCCCUGGCUGCAGAUAAUGGGUAAAUUGAGGUCGCGGGUGCCCAGUCGUCUCUCAACACAUGCCAUGGUUCCUAUUCCCUCAAGGUCAAGAGGGUAAGAACCAGAUUUUCUGUACCGUAUCAUCAGAAUCCCAGCAGAUCUUGCUUUCCAGGGUACAAGGAUAAAACUACCUAAGAUAUCAUCCUUAGGAAUCAAGCGUCAAAAUUUCGAAAAACAAAUAUAGUGUUUGCAAUGAAAUUCGUGGUGUAAUCAUGUGGUGAACUCGUUGUAGUUCAUAAGGGCUGUGGGAGGGAGGCAAUUGGACGAAGUGAGCGCCACAAGGGAGCUCAUACGCUAAGUUUUUCUCACAAGAUGUGUGUGGUAGAGGUGAAAAGCUUAAGAGGACAAAAUGCUGUUUUGGGGCAAUAAUGGCUCUGUUUUCUGUCUAGCAACAGACGCAUCGAUCCAAGCGAAUCACAUAGAUUUUACAUUGCAAGAAGAAGCCGUAAGCUCGGACAUAAGCUUGUGUUCCUUCAACAUGGGAGAAGCAAGUGUUUCACCUAAUUUGUCUUCGCCAGGUUUACAAACAGCGGACACAGUUUCUGACCAUAUGCAUCAUUCCUGAUCACAGGUGAUCCAGGUAGGCGAGCAGACCAGGCUUGCAAAUAGAGGGGCUUCAUUAGUGCCCUAUCAGAAAAUCUGCGAGUUCUCGGUGUUGGUGGAUAAAGCCACGAUGAUUGAGACCGGUAUCCGAGAGGAUGAGGUGGAUCAGGAAUCGAGGAAAAGGACGGUACCUUCUGGUUCUCAGUCAGGAUCUCGUUAGGGAUCGAGGAAGAAGAAGAGCAAGGGUUUGGGUUAUCGUCGGAAUACCGAGCGCCAGGGUUCUCGGAUGAGCCAGAUCAGUGAUCGUUGUACUAGGUGCCUCAGAUGGCACGAGGGCGAGAACCGGUCUUUUGGCGGUAACUGCUAUAACUAUGGUUGGUUAGGCCACAUGGCUCGCGAUUGUCAUGCAUUGAGGAAAGAUAUGCUUGUAUCUAGUGUGAACCGGGGGAGCAAUCAGAUACCUCGGGGGACCAUUCAGGCAAAUACAGCGCCGGCCAGAGUAUACUCUCUUACUCCAAUGGACGCUGAGCAUGCGGGGAACGUAAUGACAGGUCCUUCGAGUAAUCGGAACUAGCGUCCUGGUGUUGGAAGCGUAGUGGUCGGUGCACUACGGGUAGCGCUUGUGUAAGUGCUAGGACUUUUGCUUCAUAGGUUGCUGUUUUGGGGUAUGUUUGACACCUAGUUGUACAUUUUGUUUGUGUGGAGCCUGGACUCCAUUUCUUGUACAAACUCUGGUAUGGUACCAUGUAUGUAUAGAAUGACCUAUUUCCAUUGCA